rnacentral:lncRNA from 1 species
AAAAUACUAAUCUUACAAACUUCAGCUUUCAGGAAUCAUAGUAAAUAAUAAUUUUAUUGUCAGCAAUAUAUGUAAGGCUACAUUUCAUGACUAAAGAUUUAAAGCAAUAAAACAGCAUGACUAUAAUAAGAAUAGCUAAUCAUAGUGAUUUAUUGAUAAUGCCAGUGUUUUUACAUUUUAUCUCUUUUAAUAUAAUAAUGCCAUGAGCUCUAAGUACAGUAUACUUUCGUUAUCCCUAUUUUACACACAAGGAACCUGAGGCACAGAGAGUAUUGAGUAUUAGCUGAAUAUCACAUAGCUGAUAAGUGGUAGAGCUGGCAUAUAGAGCUGACUCCAGAACCCUGGCUUCUCACUGCCAUGCUAUAUGAGGAAAAUAUAUAUAAGAAAGUUGCUUUGUGAGAGAUUUGCUUUAGCUAACUUUUACUACAGUGUCAUUAUUCAUCAUUUAAUAUUAGAAAUACUCUAAUUGCAAAAUUAAUCCAGAUAAAUUGAAAAGCAUUGGUAUUACUGAUGAUUACAGAGAGUCUUGAGGUCAAAUAAAAGAUUUAGAAAAAUUAGGUUUUGUUGAAGACUGAAUUCAGACAUGUUACAGUAAAAUGGUUUUAUAUACUUCUCAUGACCAUUAUUAAUAAGCAUAAUGUGUAAUUUUGUUUUCUAAAAAUGGCACUGAAAAAAAUGACUGUAAGUUCAGUCUAUUCUAAUUUGUUUAGACUUUUUAUUCCUGCAUUCAGGAACACCCUUAGCAGUUUUGAGGGGCAUUACGAAAUUUGGUAUGAUUACAAAGACUAUAACUUCAGAAACUAGAAGAAAUUUGCAGUUACCUUGAUUUUGUCAGGUAGGAGAAAGGACAACCACAGAGAAUAAACUUCAUCAGUUCUCUGCUCUAACAGGAGCCUUGUUAUUCUUCAUGUCUCUGUUUGAUGUUCUGAAUAACCUUACUUUUUUGGCUCUAUUUAUCUUUAAUUACUAUGCAUGCUUACUUUGUUUUUUUUGUUUUGUUUUGACAGAGUUUUGUUCUUGUUGCCCAGGCUAGAGUGCAGUGGCAUGAUCUCAGCUCACUGCAGCCUCCGCUUCCCGGGUUCAACCAAUUCUUCUGCCUCAGCCUUCCUAGUAGCUGGAAUUACAGGUGUCCACCACCAAGCCCAGGUCAUGUGA